UCUUUCAUUCACUAUUGUUAUUGUUGCAUCCCCCCCUUUUUUUUUGUGCGAUACUGAUGUUGCCUGGAGGUUCCUGGUCGUCGCCACGUCGGCUUGCUUUUCUUGUCAUCUUUCUUCUUCAACCUCAAGGGCUCUGUAAUGCAUACUUAGUUAAUGAUAUGAGAAGGAAAUUUUCCGUUACCUCUUUUACUCACGUGUUGAAUUGUCGUUUGCCGAGCUUCUUUCGGCUUUUGCCCUGCUUGAUAUCGAUGCCGUUCGGAGGUACCCGAUCACCGUCGCAUUGACCCAUCCUUUUGUUUAUGGCCGCAGAUUUGUUCAGGACUACUCGAGUUUGCCGCCUCCUUUCAGAGUUCGAGCUCGGAGGUCUGAGCUUCUCGUCUCCCCGAGGAAGCCGUCUUAUCCUCAGCCUAUGUUGAGAACUCUCUUGGAGACCGGAGACUUUGAUAAAAACCCCAAUCCUCGUUGAGACGAGGUUCUCUGUAUCUUUGAUGUAGUUUGUUUUCCAUUUGUCGCUGAUGCAGUUCGUCGCUUUCCUUUUUAACCCCCCUCCCCUUUUUCUUUUCUUUUCUCGAGUGAGGAUUUUCCUUCUGCUCUUAGUGGGGUCGCGGGAGCGCGGAGGGGCCGCUGAAAAAGUUCCCUUUUNNNNNNNNNNNNNNNNNNNNUAUUUCCGAUGUAAUCGGUUUCAGCUCAGGUUAGAAUGAGGUUCUCCUUCUGUUCCUAUUGUGGGGGCACGUAUAGGCGUCGCAGGGCCUCUCUCCCCAUCCGGUCUAAGAGUAACCGGACCUUCGACUUUGCUCAUGUUAGGGCGAGGUUCUCCUCCUGUCCCUAACAGGACUGUGGGGGCACAUAAGGGCGUUGUAGGACCUCUCCCCCCAUCCGGUCUAAGGGUAACCGGAUCUUCGCCUUUGCUCAUGUUAGGACGAGAUUCUCCUCCUGUCCCUAACAGGGCUAUGCGGGCACAUAAGGGCGUUGUAGGGCCUCUCCCCCCAUCCGGUCUAAAGGUAACCGGAUUUUCGACUUUGCUCAUGUUAGGACGAGGUUCUCCUCCUGUCCCUAAAAGGGCUGUGGGGGCACAUAAGGGCGUUGCAGGGCCUCUCCCCCAUCCGGUCUAAGUGUAAUCGGGUCUUCGAUUUUGCUCAUAUUAGGGCGAGGCUCUCCUCCUGUCCCUAACAGGGCUGUGGGGGCACAUAAGGGCGUUGUAGGACCUCUCCCCCCAUCCGGUCCAAGUGUAACCGGACUUUCGAUCAUGUCGAGAUGAGGUUCUCCUCCUGCUCCCGACACGGUUUGUUUCGAUUGUCCUGUCGAUAUAGGCUCGUGCCAAGAGAGAAGACACGUGGAUAUAAAAUUUUUAUUUAAAGUAAAAUUAUCGAUAAUACAUUCGUAAUUUUUUCGAGCUCCAUGGUCGCGGGAGGUCUGUUCCUCCGAGCUCAUUGAGGUAGUAAGUUCCGAACCGGACUACCUC
rnacentral:lncRNA from 1 species